rnacentral:rRNA from 1 species
GUACCUGCGGAGGGAUCAUUACUGAGUUUACGCUCUAUAACCCUUUGUGAACAUACCUAUAACUGUUGCUUCGGCGGGUAGGGUCUCCGCGACCCUCCCGGCCUCCCGCCUCCGGGCGGGUCGGCGCCCGCCGGAGGAUAACCAAACUCUGAUUUAACGACGUUUCUUCUGAGUGGUACAAGCAAAUAAUCAAAACUUUUAACAACGGAUCUCUUGGUUCUGGCAUCGAUGAAGAACGCAGCGAAAUGCGAUAAGUAAUGUGAAUUGCAGAAUUCAGUGAAUCAUCGAAUCUUUGAACGCACAUUGCGCCCGCCAGCAUUCUGGCGGGCAUGCCUGUUCGAGCGUCAUUUCAACCCUCAAGCUCUGCUUGGUGUUGGGGCCCUACAGCUGAUGUAGGCCCUCAAAGGUAGUGGCGGACCCUCCCGGAGCCUCCUUUGCGUAGUAACUUUACGUCUCGCACUGGGAUCCGGAGGGACUCUUGCCGUAAAACCCCCCAAUUUCCAAAGGUGACCUCGGAUCAGUAGAUC